rnacentral:rRNA from 1 species
UACGUAGGGGGCAAGCGUUGUCCGGAAUCAUUGGGCGUAAAGCGCGCGUAGGCGGCCCGGUAAGUCCGUUGUGAAAGUCAAAGGCUCAACCUUUGAACGCCGAUGGAUACUGCCGGGCUAGAGUCCGGAAGAGGAGAGUGGAAUUCCCGGUGUAGCGGUGAAAUGCGCAGAUAUCGGGAAGAACACCCGUGGCUAAGGCGGCUCUCUAGUACGGUACUGACGCUGAGACGCGAAAGCGUGGGGAGCGAACAGG